CGGUUGAUCCUGCCGGAGGCUAUUGCUAUCAGGGUUUGANUAAGCCAUGCGAGUCGAGAGGUGAAAGACCUCGGCAUACUGCUCAGUAACACGUGGAUAAUCUGCCCUCAGGUGAGGAAUAAUCCCGGGAAACUGGGGCUAAUCCCUCAUAGGAGACGGGUGCUGGAAUGCUCUGUCUCUGAAAGGUCCGCCGCCUGAGGAUGAGUCUGCGUCCGAUUAGGUUGUUGUUGGGGUAACGGCCCACCAAGCCAUUGAUCGGUACGGGUUGUGAGAGCAAGAGCCCGGAGAUGGAUUCUGAGACAUGAAUCCAGGCCCUACGGGGCGCAGCAGGCGCGAAAACUUUACAAUGCGAGCAAUCGUGAUAAGGAAACCCUGAGUGCCUGUCAAUGCAGGCUGUUCUGGUGUUUAGUCAGCACCAGGAGAAAGGGCGGGGCAAGACCGGUGCCAGCCGCCGCGGUAAUACCGGCUGCUCGAGUGAUAGCCACUUUUACUGGGCUUAAAGCGUUCGUAGCUUGGUCGUUAAGUCUCUGGGGAAAUCUUUUGGCUCAACCAAAAGACGUCUCAGAGAAACUGGCGACCUUGGGACCGGGAGAGGUAAGACGUACUUCGGGGGUAGGAGUGAAAUCUUGUAAUCCCCGAGGGACGACCGAUGGCGAAGGCAUCUUACCAGAACGGCUCCGACAGUGAGGGACGAAAGCUGGGGGAGCAAACCGGAUUAGAUACCCGGGUAGUCCCAGCCGUAAACGAUGUGCGUUAGGUGUGUCAGUGACCACGAGUCACUGAGGUGCCGAAGGGAAACCGUGAAACGCACCGCCUGGGAAGUACGGUCGCAAGGCUGAAACUUAAAGGAAUUGGCGGGGGAGCAC
rnacentral:rRNA from 1 species